GCUCACCAGGCAACCACAUGCCUUGCCGAUGGUCGCUCUUACAUCCUGGGGAGCGUGAAAUAUGACAGCUGCCGCCAACAACAGUGCUGUAACAGUGUCUGGAGGUAUACUGGCCUGGCCCUCGAAUCCUGUGGUUCUCAGUGCAACACGCCAGGUACUCGCUUAGGCGCCUGUGUGUUAGUGAACGAGUGCGUGAGGCUGGAGCAGGUGUUUCAAGUGACCAAUGCAGCGGGGGAUGUGGGCAGGACCACCAAGUUCCUCGUCGACCAUCGGUGUGAUACCAGGGAUGGAAAUAUUCACGUUUGCUGCCCGACAUUAUAAGGAUAAAAUGCAUUAAAAAAAUCACAACGAAACGGGAAAAAGAAUCGUAUUGGUGAUUAUGUUUUAAAAAAGUGUUUGAUAUCAUCACUGUUGCAGAAUUUCUUGCAUAAACAAUCUUACCAACUUAAUGUAGUAUAAAACAACUUAGUUUAUUUCCUUAUUAUUAUCACUAUUAAUGUUCAUGUGUGUAGUCAUACAGUAAUGGAUAUAUUAGUAGUGGUCAGUAGUUAUAACUACAUUCAACAUAACCUCAAGAAGAACAAUUGCAGUAGUAUAGCAAUAAAGUGCACAUCAAUACUGAUAACAAAAGCAAUAAUCUCAAUACUUAUGCAUCUUUCCAUUGUGAAUCAAUCUUAAGUUUCAAUAGUGUAAAACUGACGCCCCAAAUUAAAAUAAUAAUCAAUAUUAAACACAAAAA